CAAAGCCUCAGAGUCAGUAGAUAAGUCUGCCUUAUAAAAGAGAUUCAGAGAAAUGAGUUGGCAAGACCCCCUUGGUGCCCUGUUACCAUGAGUUCUGUUAAAGGAAACCCUUCCUUACAAUGCACUAAGCCCCACCUCGAGCCUCUGUUGCUGUGUUCUGUUCUAGAGGCAGCAACACUCAAAUGACUGGUUUCCUUCUGUGUGUAGAUUGAGAAACACAGCAGGAUGAAUAAUAAAAGAUCCAGGAUAAAGUUGUGCUAGGAAACAAGAAACGGCAAAGACCCAGCGAUAAGAGCAGCCCACCACCUGCCAGGUCACGGAAGGCAAGAAUGCGAUGCUGCCCUCUGGAGCCCCCAAAGAGAAGAUACACAGAUGGCCAAAAAGCACAGGAAAAGAUGCUCAACAUCACUAACCUGCUUAUCUCAACUAGAGAAAACCCACAUACAGCAACGAUGAUCCAGCACAGCUAAAAAUAAAUAAUUCAAAUUUAAAUAAAAAGAAUUCACAGAUGACAAUUAUUGUCUUUAAUAUUUCAAAAGUGUUGUGCUACUUUAUUCUGGCUCCAUGAUUUCAACUCAGAAAUCAACUGUUAUUCAUAUUGGUGUCCUCCUAUGGGUAAGGCAAAAUUUUUCUGGCUUCCUGUAAGAUGUUUCCUUUGUCUUCAGUUUACAGAAUUUCAUGGUGAUAUUUUUUUGGCAUGGACAUGUUUGGGCUCCUCCCAUUUGCUUUUUUCUCAGCCACUUGAAUCUGCAUACUUGUGCAUUUUAACAAAUUUUAGUUUUCAGUUAUUUUUAAAAUAUGCUUUCAGCUUCAUUCUCUUUCUCUUCUUUUUCUG
ensembl:lncRNA